AUCCAGUUGACGAGUCCCAAAUGAGAUGAAGCGCUCGUCAAACUGGAU
rnacentral:hammerhead_ribozyme from 1 species